AUAAAGAUUAAUGAAUCCUUGUAAGAGCUUUUCCUUUCUACAUAUUUCUCUUAAGCAAGUGUCAGCAUUAGCUAUUCAGUGAUCAUUGAUGGACAUAUUCACGGAUAGUCAGUUAGACUUCAGUUACUGCUACAUCAGUGUCAUUAAUUCUGCCCCAUAUGGUCUCAGCUUUCUAAAAGGAAACUAUAUUGACUUAAACAGAUGCCAGUUUUACCCAUCCUACCAGCACCCUGGUCCUGGAGAUCUAAGAAUUUCUCAUAUUUCAAGGAAGGAUAAAUGUGUAUCUAAUUAGAUUUUGGCUUGAAUUUUA